AUUGAACGCUGGCGGCAGGCUUAACACAUGCAAGUCGAGCGGAGAUGAGGUGCUUGCACCUUAUCUUAGCGGCGGACGGGUGAGUAAUGCUUAGGAAUCUGCCUAUUAGUGGGGGACAACAUUCCGAAAGGAAUGCUAAUACCGCAUACGUCCUACGGGAGAAAGCAGGGGAUCUUCGGACCUUGCGCUAAUAGAUGAGCCUAAGUCGGAUUAGCUAGUUGGUGGGGUAAAAGCCUACCAAGGCGACGAUCUGUAGCGGGUCUGAGAGGAUGAUCCGCCAAACUGGGACUGAGACACGGCCCAGACUCCUACGGGAGGCAGCAGUGGGGAAUAUUGGACAAUGGGGGGAACCCUGAUCCAGCCAUGCCGCGUGUGUGAAGAAGGCCUUAUGGUUGUAAAGCACUUUAGGCGAGGAGGAGGCUACUGAGACUAAUACUCUUGGAUAGUGGACGUUACUCGCAGAAUAAGCACCGGCUAACUCUGUGCCAGCAGCCGCCGUAAGAC
rnacentral:rRNA from 1 species